CCAAAAUUUGCUCAUUUAUUUUCUUUACAUUAAGAUCUCUGGUUCUUACCAGUGGGUCAUUUCAAACUCUAUCUCUGCUUCCCCCAGCUAGGGAUAGAAAGCCACUAUUACAGACAGGGGCUGCAUCCUUCAGGUGCUUUCUGCAGAAAUGAGCUCAAUAACCACUGAAGACAGAUGUUAAUGAUGUCUGUUUUAAGGCAAAUUAUUUGGAGACGAGGGUAACCAAGUGGAGCUGAAUGACACUGGAUGGUAAUAACUUAAUUUGCCUCAGUGACAGUUCAUCAGGUCCUUUCACUUCCAUUUUCUCAUCUGACCAUCAUGACCUUAUGGUUUUGGGUGUGCACCUGGCUUGCAGCAGAACUGGCUGGGAUGGCUUCAUAACUUCCCUUCUAACAAUAUAACAAUAUGCUUCUGUAAAUUUUCACACUGAAUUGGACAAGAAUCAGAAUAUCCUGUUUUGAACAUCUGCACAGAUUGACAAACAAAAAUGGAACAUCAAGACUGACUGGAAAUGGUGAUGUGAAAUUCAUUAAAUGCUCUUGCAAUUGCCAGAGGUGACAUAUAUACAUACAGCAUCAUUGUUUUCUGGAAAAUGGGCUACAGGAGAAUCUUAAAGAAGCAGUGAAUUGGCCGGGCACUGUGGCUCACGCCUGUAAUCCCAGCACUUUGGGAGGCCAAGGCGGGCAGAUCACGAGGUGCCAAGACUGAGGCUCAGAGAAAUGAAAUAACAUGCCAAAGGUCACAGUGUCUAGUGGAGCUGGGGCCAAAUUCAGGUUCGCGUGAUUAAUAACACACAGGAAAAACCCUCAACUUCUUUCAUUCGCCUGUUGAGAUAAAGGGAAAGAGAGUCCCCAUCCAGGCCUGCAGGAGAGGGAGAACUGGUGGAUGCAAAUGAAAAAGCAGAGGCAUUCCUCAGGGUCUUGCUCUGCCACCCAGCCUGGAGUGCAGUGGUGCAAUCGUGGCUUACUGCAGUCCCAACCUCCUGGGCUCAAGCAAUCCUCCCAUCUCAACCUUCCCAGUAGCUGGGACUACAGAUUAAAAGAGCAGAGGACCAAAGAGAGAAAAAUUAAACCUCCAUCUUAUUCAUGGGAGCUUCAGGAGAAUUUGGAUGCCUUUCAG
rnacentral:lncRNA from 1 species